rnacentral:lncRNA from 1 species
UUCCAUUUGCAUUAUAUUUCACAUCUACGUUUUACACCUAAACUGUAUUUUCUAUCUAUAUUGUCAUUUAUAUCUACAUCAUAUUUCACAUCUAUGCAAUAUUUUGCACCUACAUUAUAUUUAACAUUAUAUUCCACAUCUCCCUUGUAUCUCACACCUACAUUUUAUUUCUAAUCUACGUUAUAUUUUAAAUUUCCAUGACCAAAAGCUCAAAGGGACAGAGGAAGAAAUCUGGGGGAGCAGACUGCUGAAAAACCACUGUGCUAAAAAACCCCUAAAAAUCAGGAUUUUCCCUUAUGGACUGAAAGAAGCCCUAUUAAAAUCCUAUCUUCUGGAAAGCGUCAGAGAGGCAGGAGCGUAGAUGUCUGCUUCCUGAGGAAGUAUUUUUAGCUUCUGAAUGAAACAAGUCACGGACAAAAAAAAAAGGUAAUUGUGCUUGCAAGUAAGUAUUUAAAUAUUUACAUUUGAAAUAUAUUUGCUGCCAGCUUCUGUUAGCGAGAAGAAAAGUAAUUUGGGAAAUUACAACCCUUCCUAUUUCCCACAUUUUUUAGGAUAAUAAAUGCGGGGCUGAAUUUAGCAUGCCCUGGAGCUUGGCUGGCCGAAGUCGAAGGCAAAGAGGGAGCUCGGGAUAAUUCAUGGAGCAAAGAUGCUGCUGGGGAGGGGGACCUGCAGAGCUUGGGAGGUGCUGGGGAUGAAGAUGAGUUUCCCUUGGGCCGGGAAGCGCCUGGAUCGCCCGGAGCAGCUGUUCCCGGCAUGUGGAACCAGGCUGCGGCCACCGGCCGAGCUGAUUUCUCAUGUGCUGACCUCCAGAUAUGGUGGAUCUGCUCAUCCUCACAAGCUGGCAGGCUCAGGGCCUGAGUCAUGUUCCCCAAACCCUCCAGCACGUGGAGAUGACGCUCGGGGUCACGGAUGAGCUGCCUUUCCCUGUGUCCCAGCCUACACUCCAUGCGAAACCACGCUGGAAAAUCCAGGAUGCGUUGGGAUGAGGGUUUCCAAGGAAAAUUUCCACCUCCUGAGCAGAACGAGGAAGGAGCUCACUGUGGCCACACAAGAUCUGAAACCAAGGGGGUGUUUUGGGUCCUUCCUGGUGAGGAUCUUCACCUUUUUCAGAUGUCAAGAAGCCACCAAGGUGUCUUCCAAAGCAACGUAUCAGGUGUGCAGGUCACACCCCACCACGUGCUCAGGACAGCCACUCCCUGUCACCUGAGUCAGCAGCACUGUCACAGCAGCUGAGUUCUGAAGGGAUUUUGGUGCUUCCUGAUGCUCCCUUGGGCUCUGAGGGAACUCAGCCUUGCUUAGAUCAUUGUCCAGAGCCUUGAGCUGCUUGCAGCAGUUUCUCCUCCUCUAAGAAGUGGGACAGAUGUGGGAUGGGACCCC